CCUACGGGGUGCAGCAGUGGGGAAUAUUGCACAAUGGGGGAAACCCUGAUGCAGCGACGUCGCGUGAGGAAAGAAGUAUCUCGGUAUGUAAAGCCCCAUCUGCAGGGAAGAAAAUGACGGUACCUGACUAAGAAGCCCCGGCGAACUACGUGCCAGCAGCCGCGGUAGUUCGUAGGGGGCAAGCGUUAUCCGGAUUUACUGGGUGUAAAGGGAGUGUAGACGGCCCGAAAGGUCAGAAGUGAAAGCCUUGGGGUCAACCCUGGGACUGAUUUUGAAACUGGCGGGCUGGAGUGCAGGAGAGGUAGGCGGAAUUCGUGGUGUAGCGGUGAAAUGCGUAGAUAUUAGGAAGAACACCAAUGGCGAAGGCGGCUUACUGGACUGUAACUGACGUUGAGGCACGAAAGCGUGGGGAGCAAACAGGAUUAGAUACCCGUGUAGUC
rnacentral:rRNA from 1 species